AUUCCACAGUGCCUUCCCGCAAUGUAUUUCACUCCUGGUUGUCGUCAACAUGCAAUUCCGGAUGUAGUAAUUUAGAACAGGUAUUUCAUUAACAAACAAUCCACCACAGAUAUACAAUACCCAACUGAACAUCACCUCAUAUUAAUAAUAAUAAUAAUAAUAAUAAUAAUAAUAAUAAUAAUAAUAUAUCAGGCUCAGGAAAGCAGCAUCAGAUGUUCCAUCUGAGGGGCAAAUGGGGUCCACUGGUUCUCUGUGGGGGCGGGGGGUUAGUGAACAGCAUGACUGGAUUAGGCCUUCCUUUGCUCAGUCUGAACUAAUCUGAGCGAUUGCCUAGAGUGACUUGCCUUUCCCAACAAGGCAGGAAAAGUAAAACUUGCCUUGACUUCUGAAACAAACUAACCAUUUUUAAAUGGGUAAUUAAAUAGCUCUCUCUGAAGAGAGAGAGGUACCUGGCCGAGGUACAAAGCUCUCCUCUUAUUUUAUUUUGGAAAUAAGUUUUAUACACGGUUUUCCAAUCGUUGUGUGAAGGUUCUGAGAGGAAUUAUGCGUGGGAAUAGAAAGAAAGUCGUCCCCCGUCCCCCCGAUCUAACUUAAACAUGAAGCAAUUGAUAAAAAUAGGAGAUCAGUUCCCAGGAAUGCGUAAGGGAGCCUGUUUUAUAUCCGAGCUUCAAUAUUAUCUGCUUUCAAAUGUCAUAUAAUCCCAAAUUAAUAACUGUGGUUUACUGUGACUGCACAGUGACAGGGAUAUUGUUAAGUACCGCCUAAAGAGAUGACAUUUGAAAUCAUCAUUUCUUUCAAGAAGAAAAGGAAUGAUUGCCAUAUUUAGAGGCACUUAGCACUGGGACCACUGGUGGCAGUUUGCUGUUCAGCUCCCAGAAAUAAUCGAAUGUUAUUGAAUCAUAUAGAAUCCAUGCCGGCUGCCUGCGCUAUUGCAGCCAUAAAUUAAAAUGACAAUCCAUCGGCUGGCAGCUUCUCCUUGGGAGCAGGCAACUCUAAUCUCGUGUUGUCUUUCCAAAGCAGCUUGCCUGGUACCGCAUGUGCAAUGUGAUUUUCUUUUACAGCUAAAUUAUGACUCCAGUGUGAUUGAUCUCCUCAAGCUAUUUUGAGAUUCCCUGACUGCCUAGAAGUAUCUCUGUUAGACUGUGUAUAUUUGCUAAGGUUGAGGAGUUUGGGGAGGGUGGGGAAGGGAUCUUUCUAUGAUUUCGGUGCCACAAAAUGCUCGUUUGAAAACUGAUUUCUCUUAUUUCUGUGCCCCUCCAUAUGCACACAUUGAAACUAGGGGCAGAGCUCUAAACUAGAGUGAGACAAGCAAGUGUUCUGGCCACCGAUGCAGCUACUUGUAUGAAGUCUCAUACAGAAGUGCUAUUGGUAAAGGGUAUUAUAUUCAUAUUUUAGUUAUUUGUAUCAUACCCCUCUGAGAAUCUCAAGGUAAUAUACAUGGGGUUUGUUGGUUUGUUUGUUUGUUUGAUUUAUUUAUUUAAACUGUUUUUAUACUGCUUAAUCUAUAAAACUGUCUCUAAGUGGUGUACAGAAAACUAAAACAAUUACAACCAAUGCUACAAAAACACACUAAGACAAAUUAUUAAUAAACAAUAUCCUGAUAUCAAUUCCUUCUCCCACUGACACACCUCCCCCAUUCAACAGCUCUCAGCCUCCUGGCUUAGGCCCCAAACAAGCUCACAGAACACCCCACAAUUAUUAUUUUAUAAAAAAUAUAUUUUAUUGGGGGGGAACAAUUACAAAGAAAUAAAGUGAUGCAGAAAAAAAGGAGGGAAAGUGAGGGGCAAAGAUGUAUAUAAGAAAGAAAGAAAGAAAGAAAGAAAGAAAGAAAGAAAGAAAGAACUAUAUAUACCGUAUUUUUUGCACCAUAACACUCACUUUUUUCCUCCUAAAAAGUAAGGGGAAAUGUCUGUGCGUGUUAUGGAGGGAAUGCCUAUGGGUGGCAUGCCUACGGAUUUUCCUCCUCUAAAAACUAUGUGCGUGUUAUGGUCGGGUGCGUGUUAUAGAGCGAAAAAUACGGUACCCCACAAAUGAAGAGGUUUCCUGAAACUUGAUGCCAUAACUCUAGUCUUUCACUCUACUUUUCUGAGCAGGCACAAAGGUUGCUGGAUCCUUCUCAGGCUACUCACUUCCAUCAGCAUCCAGUCAUCCACAGUGUAUACACCCAGUUCCGGGCUACAGCAGGUUUGGUGAGUUUCCCAGGAGGCUCAAAGGAUGACAAAGAAGACACCUCUUCGUUGUGUAAGGGAGUCAUUGGAAGUAAGUGCGAAAGACUAUAUUGAGACCACACCUUUUCUGUGACCUAUCUAUGAUGUCUUGAUGAUGCAUCCUGAGAUGUAUUAUGGGAAAUUUGGGGAGACUUUAAAAAUACUGAUGUAACCAUUGUUCGGGG